rnacentral:rRNA from 1 species
UGGCGACCGGCGCACGGGUGAGUAACACGUAUCCAACCUACCCUCUUACUCGGGGAUAGCCUUUCGAAAGAAAGAUUAAUACCCGAUAGUCUAGGAAUAAAGCAUUUUAUUUUUAGUAAAGAAUUUCGGUGUUUGAUGGGGAUGCGUUCCAUUAGAUUGUUGGUGAGGUAACGGCUCACCAAGUCUUCGAUGGAUAGGGGUUCUGAGAGGAAGGUCCCCCACAUUGGAACUGAGACACGGUCCAAACUCCUACGGGAGGCAGCAGUGAGGAAUAUUGGUCAAUGGACGAGAGUCUGAACCAGCCAAGUAGCGUGAAGGACGAAGGCCCUACGGGUCGUAAACUUCUUUUAUAGGGGAAUAAAGUGGAGAACGUGUUCUCCUUUGUAUGUACCCUACGAAUAAGGAUCGGCUAACUCCGUGCCAGCAGCCGCGGUAAUACGGAGGAUCCAAGCGUUAUCCGGAUUUAUUGGGUUUAAAGGGAGCGUAGGUGGACGUAUAAGUCAGUUGUGAAAGUUUGCGGCUCAACCGUAAAAUUGCAGUUGAUACUGUAUGUCUUGAGUGUACAAGAGGUGGGCGGAAUUCGUGGUGUAGCGGUGAAAUGCUUAGAUAUCACGAAGAACUCCGAUUG